ACAUUUUCUGCCAUGUUUUCCUUUACAUUUACACACACAUGCUUCAUCAUUUCAACAACAAAACACACACAAUUCCUACCCAUGUGUGUGUGUUUCCUUUGCCCAUGUGUGUGUGUUUUUCCUUUGCAUUUGCAGACACAUGUUCUUCAUUAUUUCAGCCAACAAUCCACCCAUUUUCUGCCCAUGUGUGUGUGUUUCCUUUGCCCAUGUGUUGCCUUUCUCUUUUUAUUAGCCAAAUCUGCUUAGCCCUUUUCUGACCUUUUAGUGUUACAAUGCCCAUAACUUCUUCUAGAAAAAUGAGAUUAACAAUCCGUAAAUUGCUCCAGAAAAUAGACAUCCGUAGCUUUCCACGCAUAUAAGGUUCAUUCUCUCAUUCAUUCUGAACUGUUUGUAACAUGCUUCCAAAGUCAGAUAAUCUGCACAGGCAGUUUUGACGAAUUUGUUACUUAAUAAUUCACUUGUGCUACUUUUCUUUUCUUUGCUUGAUAAAUCACACAAAACACAAAAACAUAGUAAAUAGCUCAAAAAUAUAAGGAACUAACUGAGAAAAGACAAGUGAAUUUUAUGUAAAUAUAUAUAAAUAUGAGCUUAUCACCUACCCCCACACUUAGCUUUUGCAAGUCCUCGAGCAAAAUAAAGAAAACAAAACACAACCUAAACCUUCCAACGUUUGCCUUAGGGAUUUCCAACGCACAUGACAUGUUAAAAAUCAUUAUCCCCACAAAUUUGAGUCAUCUUCACACUUAAGCACAUACUUAAUCAUAGUCACCACGUACUAGUUCACAUUUAACCAAUUAAAAUAUGAUUUUGAAUGUAGUAACCUUAGAGAAUUUUCUCAAGUCCUUACAAGAUAUUCACUCAAUUUUCACUCAGAUUUUCUAACUACACACCCUAUACUAGUUAUAUGUGAGAAGAUUGAUGUAAACAUGAAAACGAACGCUCACAUAUAUGUAUUACAAAGAAAGCGAUUUCUGGAGUUAUUAAGCAUGUUUAGAUAUGAUCUCAUGAAUGGAAUGCUACUACUUAGAUGCGAGAACCAGUGACACCAUAUGCUCAUACCAAAUUCAAACUCCACAAAUUGAAACACAUAACACUCAAGAUUGAAGUCAAAGGUUGUAACGGGGCUUGGGGUGUUGGCUAACAAAUGAAGGUAAGGGAAAACAAACGUUCUUAAAGCAAUAGCAAAUAAAGUAAUGAACUUGAAACUUAGAAUUCACUUAGAUUGCAGAAAUCAACUUUUAGACAUAAGGGAAAGAUUUAAACAACUCUUAGGGUCAAAUUCAACUUUUUUUUUUUUUUUUUCUUUGGAUGAAUUUUUCUUUUCUUUUCUUUCCACCCGUGCCUAUGGCACACUACUUACAUGAGAAACACUUCCCCCAUACUUAUUUUCUGCCAUACAUAAUCAAAAGGAAUUCAAUUUGAAUCAUGCUUUACUAUGCUUUCAGAACAAGGGUAUGAAUGUCCUAAUCUAGGCUAGGUGGAGAUGAUGUGAUUAACAAAGAAAAACGGGCUAAACAAGGUUCAACGGGGUUAACUUAAACAUAUAAUGAAGUAGGAUACACGGCAAUUUGGCUUUGGAGGUGGUAACUACACAACUUCAUCUUGAAUAUGUGUUAUGCAAAUCAAUAUCAUGCUUUGAAU
rnacentral:lncRNA from 1 species